CUCUGUGACUCCUACGGGAGGCAGCAGUGGGGAAUAUUGCACAAUGGGGGAAACCCUGAUGCAGCCAUGCCGCGUGUGUGAAGAAGGCCUUCGGGUUGUAAAGCACUUUCAGUAGGGAGGAAGGUAGUGUAGUUAACACCUGCAUUAUUUGACGUUACCUACAGAAGAAGCACCGGCUAACUCCGUGCCAGCAGCCGCGGUAAUACGGAGGGUGCGAGCGUUAAUCGGAAUUACUGGGCGUAAAGCGCAUGCAGGCGGCCUGUUAAGUCAGAUGUGAAAGCCCGGGGCUUAACCUCGGAAUUGCAUUUGAAACUGGCAGGCUAGAGUCUUGUAGAGGGGGUAGAAUUUCAGGUGUAGCGGUGAAAUGCGUAGAGAUCUGAAGGAAUACCAGUGGCGAAGGCGGCCCCCUGGACAAAGACUGACGCUCAGAUGCGAAAGCGUGGGGAGCAAACAGGAUUAGAUACCCUGGAG
rnacentral:rRNA from 1 species